rnacentral:rRNA from 1 species
AACGAACGCUGGCGGCAUGCCUAACACAUGCAAGUCGAACGAGAUCUUCGGGUCUAGUGGCGCACGGGUGCGUAACGCGUGGGAAUCUGCCCUUUGGUUCGGAAUAACAGUUGGAAACGACUGCUAAUACCGGAUGAUGACGAAAGUCCAAAGAUUUAUCGCCAGGGGAUGAGCCCGCGUAGGAUUAGCUAGUUGGUGUGGUAAAGGCGCACCAAGGCGACGAUCCUUAGCUGGUCUGAGAGGAUGAUCAGCCACACUGGGACUGAGACACGGCCCAGACUCCUACGGGGGGCAGCAGUGGGGAAUAUUGGACAGUGGGCGAAAGCCUGAUCCAGCAAUGCCGCGUGAGUGAUGAAGGCCUUAGGGUUGUAAAGCUCUUUUACCCGGGAUGAUAAUGACAGUACCGGGAGAAUAAGCUCCGGCUAACUCCGUGCCAGCAGCCGCGGUAA